rnacentral:rRNA from 2 species
UACGUAGGGGGCGAGCGUUGUCCGGAAUUAUUGGGCGUAAAGAGCGUGUAGGCGGUUCGGUAAGUCUGCUGUGAAAACCCGGGGCUCAACCCCGGGCGUGCAGUGGAUACUGCCGGGCUAGAGGGCGGUAGAGGCGAGUGGAAUUCCCGGUGUAGCGGUGAAAUGCGCAGAUAUCGGGAGGAACACCAGUAGCGAAGGCGGCUCGCUGGGCCGUUCCUGACGCUGAGACGCGAAAGCUAGGGGAGCGAACAGGAUUAGAUACCCUGGUAGUCCUAGCCGUAAACGAUGGGCACUAGGUGUGGGGGGAGUCGAAUCUCUCCGUGCCGCAGCCAACGCGUUAAGUGCCCCGCCUGGGGAGUACGGCCGCAAGGCUAAAACUCAAAAGAAUUGACGGGGGCCCGCACAAGCAGCGGAGCAUGUUCUUUAAUUCGAUGCAACGCGAAGAACCUUACCUGGGCUUGACAUGGCGCUGCAAGCGCACGGAAACGUGUGACCUUCGAGGGUGCGCCACAGGUGCUGCAUGGCUGUCGUCAGCUCGUG